rnacentral:rRNA from 1 species
GUCCACACCGUAAACGCUGUCUACUAGCUGUUUGUGUAUUAUAUACGUGAGUAGCGAAGCUAACGCGCUAAGUAGACCGCCUGGGGAGUACGGCCGCAAGGUUAAAACUCAAAUGAAUUGACGGGGGCCCGCACAAGCGGUGGAGCAUGUGGUUUAAUUCGAUGCAACGCGAAGAACCUUACCUACACUUGACAUGCAGAGAACUUUCCAGAGAUGGAUUGGUGCCUUCGGGAACUCUGACACAGGUGCUGCAUGGCU